rnacentral:rRNA from 1 species
ACUCAAAUGAAUAGACGGGGGCCCGCACAAGCGGUGGAGCAUGUGGUUUAAUUCGACGCAACGCGAAGAACCUUACCUGGGCUAGAAAGUACAGGAACCCGGUCGAAAGGUCGGGGUGCCCUUCGGGGAACCUGUGGUUAGGUGCUGCAUGGCUGUCGUCAGCUCGUGUCGUGAGAUGUUGGGUUAAGUCCCGCAACGAGCGCAACCCUUGCCGUUAGUUGCCAUCAUUAAGUUGGGAACUCUAACGGGACUGCCGACCUUUAAGUCGGAGGAAGGUGGGGAUGACGUCAAGUCCUCAUGGCCCUUACGUCCAGGGCUACACACGUGCUACAAUGGUUGGUACAAAGGGCUGCGAACCGGCGACGGGGAGCCAAUCCCAAAAAGCCAACCUCAGUACAGAUAAGAGUCUGCAACUCGACUCUUUGAAGUCGGAAUCGCUAGUAAUCGCUGAUCAGCAUGGCAGCGGUGAAUACGUUCCCGGGCCUUGCACACACCGCCCGU